rnacentral:sRNA from 1 species
AUUCUUUUGCUCCGCUCCGUCCUGCCUCCUUCGGAGCUCUGCCUUCCAGCCGGGCUCGGCUGUGCUUUGUCCGGAGAUGGCGAGCGAAGGGAAGCCCCGGCCAGGCCAGGCCUGGCGGCUACCGCUGGAGAUUGGGCGCGCCCGGUUCCCGGCGCCGCGGCGGCAGCUUUGCAACUCGCAACCUGGCUAAUUUCCUGCGUCCUCUGGCACCAGGAAAGAGGACGAUUCUUCUCUCGGGCUGCCCAAGCGACAGCUGUCAGAGGGGCAGGAGCUUCUGGGAGCCACCGUCUGAAGGCUACGUGUGCCGCCUGGCCAUUCAAACUGUCAAUUUUAGGUCCAGAAGUGUCCAAACGACAAGUUCUCAAAACUCUCUGAAAUAUGGCUCCCUCCGAGUUAAGCAAUUCUGAAAGGCAUUCUCUGGGAAAAGUCUGUGGAAGAGAGAGGGAUCUUCUUGCAAAUAAUGUGGUCUCAGGCAAGGACACAGCAUCUUGGCUGUCUGCUAAAAAAAAAAAAAAAAUGCCUAGACUCUCAGUGGAAAUUGAGUG